CUGUCUAGCGCCCCAGUAAAGCUGUCGAGGGAAGAAAAACGGACUUACUUUUCGUCUCAGCUGUGCGAAGCUUUCGCUAUGGCAGCCAAAGUGGAGCUGAGUGUCUCCUGUGCUAACCUGCUGGAUAAAGAUGUGGGAUCAAAGUCUGAUCCUCUGUGCGUGCUGCUGCAGAGCUCUGGAGGAGAUAAAUGGACUGAGCUGGGCCGCAGUGAGUGUUUGAAGAACACUUGCAACCCAUCCUUCAGUCAGCGCCUCCGACUGGAUUACCGCUUUGAGACGGUUCAGAAUCUGAAGCUGGGUGUCUACGACAUUGAUAACUCCACCCCUGACCUUAAAGAUGAUGACUACCUGGGAGGGGUGGAGCUAACACUUGGACAGAUAGUUUCCAGUAAAACUGUGACCAAACCUCUGCAGCUGAAGAAGGACAAACCUGCAGGAAAAGGAACCAUUACUAUCACAGCAGAGGAGAUAAAAGACAACAGAACCAUUACAUUGGAGUUGGCGGCUAAAAAUCUUGACAACAAGGAUACGUUUGGGAAGUCUGAUCCAUUCCUGGAGCUUUUCGAAAAAGGAGCUGAUGGAAAAUGGCAGCUGGUUCACAGGACAGAGGUGGUGAAGGACAAUCUGAAUCCAACCUGGAAGAAGUUCACCGUUCCUCUGCAGACCUUUUGUGGCGGUGACCUUGAAAGACCUCUGAAGAUGGAUUGUUUUGAUUAUGACGACAAUGGAUCUCAUGAUCUGAUUGGUUCUUUCAGCACUAAAGUCUCUGAGCUGAAGAAAGCUGCACAUGGUUCACCGGUACAAUUUGACUGCAUCAAUCCUGAGAAACAGAAGAAGAAGAAGAGCUACAAGAACUCUGGAGUUGUCAUUGUCAAGAGCUGCGAGCUGACCAGUCAGUACACCUUCCUGGACUAUGUGAUGGGCGGCUGCCAGAUCAACUUCACUGUUGGGAUCGACUUCACUAGCUCUAAUGGUGAUCCUCACACACCCACCUCUCUCCACUAUAUGAGUCCAGAUGGGCUGAACCAGUACCUGUCUGCUCUGUGGUCUGUGGGUCAUGUGGUCCAGAACUAUGACACUGAUAAACUCUUCCCAGCAUUCGGUUUUGGAGCCAAACUGCCUCCAGACUACCAGGUGGAAUACCACCAGUUUGCCCUCAAUUUCAACCCAUCUAACCCUUACUGUCAAGGCAUCCAGGGGAUUGUUGACGCCUACAGGGCUGUUUUGCCUAAGCUCAAACUCUCUGAACCCACAAACCUGUCCCCCAUCAUCAACCAUGUAGCUUCCACUGCUGCCAGUGCUGCACAGACCAAUGCUGCCACUCAAUACUGUGUCCUCCUCAUCCUCACUGAUGGCGAGAUCACUGACUUUGACCAGACCAGGGACGCCAUCGUUCAGGCGUCACGGCUUCCCAUGUCAAUCAUUAUUGUUGGGGUGGGACCGGCCAACUUCAAGGCCAUGGAGCUUCUGGACGGAGAUAAUGGUGUGCUGAAGUCAACAGCGGGAGAGGCCGUUGCCAGAGACAUUGUCCAGUUUGUACCAUACAAACAGUUCAAAGAUUCUCCCCAGACGGCUCUGGCUCAGGCUGUCCUCGCUGAGGUUCCCAACCAGCUGGUCUCCUAUUUUAAAGUGAAAGGCCUGGACCCACCAAAAGCUGCUUCCAAAAAAUAAACCCACCCUCAUGCCAUUCCAGCCCACCAUCACAUUCUUCCUCGACCUCCCACCACCAAUGUUGACAGCUCGUCAAGGACCACCCUGAUGUGUUAGCCAAUCACAGAACAGCACUUAGCUGUUAGCCAAUCAGGAUGCCAUGGGCAAACAUCAUGUUUUUUUUUUUUUCUCAAAAUGUAUUAAUCUCUUUGUUUCCUGAUUUUUUUUUUCCUCUUCUAUUGGUGGAAUGAUAAAUCUAUACUCUAUAUUAGAUGAUUAUUCCUUCUGCUGCUUCCACAGUAACUAUGCAGAUCACAUGUUUGCUAGCAUAUGUUUAGAAAUGAGAGCCACACACAGAUGAAAAAGCAUUUUUAAAAAUUUUUGCUGCACAUGUAUUAUAAAAGAAGAGUGACUGACAGCGGAGAUGUGAGCUUUCUAAAAACUGUACAGAUUUUUGGGUUUUCCCAUUCAUUUAAAUACAGUUUUAUCACAGCAGCCCCUAGUGAACAUGAGAGGUACUGCAGCUACUGGUUCCUCUGCUUUUGUGUGGCGCAGAUUCGCUUUUUUUGAUUGGGUGCCAAUACUUUGCUAUUUACUUUUGGGCUAAAUGCUGGAAAACUGUAUUAUGAAUGAUAUAUAGUAUAGCCACACCUACAGCCUUACUAUAAAAUUUACAGCCUUAAUUUAGCUUUUAUUAUGCUGCUCAGCGACUGCAGCCUGAAUGUUUCUUGAUUUCUUUUAACUGCCUGUUUUCUUAAUGUUUCCAUUUUCGAUCACAGUGCAGAACACACCAGUUCUGCUCAUUAUGUUAGUAUCGACAUUGGACGUUAUCGAAAAUAUGUCAGUUUUAUAAUGAAGCAAUCUAUCAAACAAAUCUAUAAAUGGAGUUAAAGUUUACAGAGCAUCAAGAGUAAAGUGCCCUUUUGAGUAAACGUGACACUUUUCAGAUUUGAAUGCUUUGUUAAUCAUUAAUGGAGAGGAAACAUCAGGUGAAAAAGUAAGUGCUUAAUAAUUAGACUGAGCUUUUAUUCAAUUGGGAUGAUCAUGGUUUGUAUUGGCACACACAAAAGUGAAGUCGUAAAAUAGACAGAUAUUGACAUGGUUCCUCCAGCCUGGGAUGAGCUGGACGCACAAACAGUGUUAAAAUGUGCCAAUUUAUGCUUACAGCAAAGCCACGUUUGAGUUUGUUACAUUUAAUUUUGUUACAAAAUGCACUGCAGCCACAGGUUCAACUGUAACCACUUAAAAAGAAUUAAAAUUCUUUGUUUUUCUGCCUUUUAAAAAACAAAACAAAUUAAAUAGAGAAACUGCAGGAGAGGUCAGAGAGAUAUGAAGAGCUCACAGUCAGCCAAGUAAAAGCCUGAAAGAUGGGCUUCAGAUCUCCAGGAAACUAAUCUCAAAAAAAUAAAAUAAAAGUUAGAGAAUGUGAUCAAACAUGACGUUUAUGCAUCUUUAGUUGAGAAAGUGUUUGAGUGUGAAUGUGUAAAUCCACCUCCUGGGCCCUUUUUCAGGAAGCAGGUUCACUAAACUCUGAGUUAAAAAACAUACUGAGUUGGUAAGUAAAAGCUUUGCAAUUUAAGCAUUACUUUAGUAAGUGUAAAAAAAGUAUAAAAGUAUUAUUAGCAAAAGGUAUGCCCACAUUGAAUAAGAGUAAGACAGGGUCAAAAGUUUUUAAGACACAGUUGCAGACCAGUCUAUGCCAAAAAUGCCAUUUGGUCCCAGUCCAGCCCUGUUCAACAUCGCCAAUUUGCCUGCGUGUCUUCCCCUGUAUCUUUCCCCUAUUUCCUGUCUCUCUCCACUGCUAACAAAAGCCACUGUGGCCAAAAACACAAAAAAAAAAAAAACUUAGAUUCCUCUUUCAACUCUAUUUCCACAUACUUUGAGCUACAGACACCAUUCAAACUUUAAAAUGAAGUCAAGACAUUGAACUAUGAAUCUAUUCAACAUCCUUUAUGGUUUUUCUUCAGCUCCAGUUUAAAAUUCAGGCUGUUUUUCUCCCCUUUUCUCCCCCAUUCUUUUUUUUUUUUUUUGACAAUUUCAGCUGUUUUGCAUUUCAUGGUCUGGUUAAGCUCUUUCAGCAAAUCAAGUUUCAGUUAUUUUAAACAUAUCUAGGCAUUUUGCUCAAAUCUUCUUUCUGCAUACUUUGUGCUACAGAAACCAUUCUGGUAUAAUAAUGUUCAGCUUAUUCUGGAAAAUUAUGCUAUUACUUUUCUUUUAUGUAACGGUUAUGAAUUUUUAAAAUAUCACACUUUUUAUGAAUUUUUGGGGCCUUUGAAAUCAAUGGAGAAAGCUGCAAAUCAUUUUCAAACCCACCCUACUUUGAGAUCUAACUACUUCAGCAUAGUUUGAGCUAGAGAAAAAAAAAAUCUAACUUUUCAACUAUUCAGGUAUUACUCUACCUUUUAUGUUUUUUCAGUUCGAUUUCAUUUUGAUGGAUUUAAUCCCUACGUUUUGCAGUUUGCUUUUAUUUAAACAGCUAUUUCAGAAAAACAUUGUGGGAACAGUGUAAUUUAUGCUGUCAGUGUGAUUCAACAAUACUCCUCAGGUUAAUUUUUAUUUUAUUUUGGGCUUUUACUGUUUCUCUGCUCCACCUAACUUGAUUUCAUUUUCAUGCUUACUUGUGAUGAGCUUCGUAACGCCUGUCAUAACUCAAGAAUGGACUGAAAACCAUGGAAAAUCAAAAUUUGAUAAUUAAAGCAAUGUUUUGCAAAACAAGUACAUCUGUAUCAGUCAACUGACAUCAAAGUGGGGUAAUGAGUUUGCUUUUCACAUUCGUUCCAUCGUUUUAGUCUGGCACUGAAAUUUCCGAGCACCCCUGAAC